AGUGAACGCUGGCGGUAGGCCUAACACAUGCAAGUCGAACGGCAGCACAGUAAGAGCUUGCUCUUACGGGUGGCGAGUGGCGGACGGGUGAGGAAUACAUCGGAAUCUACUUUUUCGUGGGGGAUAACGUAGGGAAACUUACGCUAAUACCGCAUACGACCUACGGGUGAAAGCAGGGGAUCUUCGGACCUUGCGCGAUUGAAUGAGCCGAUGUCGGAUUAGCUAGUUGGCGGGGUAAAGGCCCACCAAGGCGACGAUCCGUAGCUGUUCUGAGAGGAUGAUCAGCCACACUGGAACUGAGACACGGUCCAGACUCCUACGGGAGGCAGCAGUGGGGAAUAUGGGACAGUGGGCGCAAGCCUGAUCCAGCCAUACCGCGUGGGUGAAGAAGGCCUUCGGGUUGUAAAGCCCUUUUGUUUGGAAAGAAAAGCAGCAGGUUAAUACCCCGCUGUUCUGACGUUACCCAAAGAAUAAGCACCGGCUAACUUCGUG
rnacentral:rRNA from 1 species